CGAAAAGUUUGGCAAAACCGGCGAAAGCCGGCGACGCAAAGCUAAAGGGGCUAAGGCGGGUAACCGCUAUGCCAGCCAGCUGCCGGG
rfam:Carboxydothermus hydrogenoformans Z-2901, complete genome.